GACCAAAAGAUUGAGUUAUAUGAUUAGGUAAAAAAGACAGUUAGGCGAUUAAAAGUUUAAUGAUUUUUUAUAGAAGGGUAAAAUUUGAAUAUAAAAAGGUAAUUUUUAGGAAGCUAUAAUGCUGAAGCUGUGACAGUUUUGAGGGAAACUGGGAUUAGAUACCCCAUUAUUCAUAAUUGUAAAUUAAUAGAAAUUUACCAGAGUACUAUGAAUGAUUAAGAUUUAAAACUCAAAGGGCUUGGCGGUGUUUUAGACCAAUUAGGGGAACCUGUCUCGUAAUCGACAGUCCACGUGAUACCUAACCUUUUUUGGUGGUCAGUUUGUAUACCGUCGUCGUCAGGUAACUUUUAAAAAUUGAGAAGUUGGCAGAAAUAAUAGUUUUAAUUAAGACGUCAGAUCAAGGUGCAGCUUAUAAAAAGGAGAGGAUGGGUUACAAUUAUAUAAUUAUAAUUAUGGAUAGUUUAAUGGAAAAAGCUUUAAGGAGGACUUAAAAGUAAUGUUAUAAUAUAUAAAUAAUUUGAAUUAGGCUCUGAAACGUGC
rnacentral:rRNA from 1 species